AGAGGGUGCAAGCGUUAAUCGAAGUUACUGGGCGUAAAGCGUGCGUAGGCGGAUAUUCAAGUCGGGGUGUGAAAGCCCCGGGGCUCAACCUGGGAACUGCAUUCGAUACUGAGUGUCUAGAGUAUGAUAGAGGAAAGUGGAAUUUCCGGUGUAGCGGUGAAAUGCGUAGAUAUCGGAAAGAACUCCAGUGGCGAAGGCGACUUUCUGGAUCAAUACUGACGCUGAGGUACGAAAGCGUGGGGAGCAAACAGGAUUAGAGACCCUGGUAGUCCACGCCGUAAACGAUGAGAACUAGGCGUUAAUUUCGCUUCGGUGAAAUUAGUGCCAAAGCUAACGCGUUAAGUUCUCCGCCUGGGGAGUACGAUCGCAAGAUUA
rnacentral:rRNA from 1 species